AUUCUGGGCGUAAGCGCGCGUAGGUGGCUAAGUCAGCCAGGUGUGAAAGCCCCGGGCUCAACCUGGGAACGGCAUCUGGAACUGCUUGGCUAGAGUGCAGGAGAGGAAGGUAGAAUUCCCGGUGUAGCGGUGAAAUGCGUAGAGAUCGGGAGGAAUACCAGUGGCGAAGGCGGCCUUCUGGACUGACACUGACACUGAGGUGCGAAAGCGUGGGUAGCAAACAGGAUUAGAUACCCUGGUAGUCCACGCCGUAAACGAUGUCAACUAGCCGUUGGGUCCCUUGAGGACUUAGUGGCGCAGCUAACGCAAUAAGUUGACCGCCUGGGGAGUACGGCCGCAAGGUUAAAACUCAAAUGAAUUGACGGGGGCCCGCACAAGCGGUGGAGCAUGUGGUUUAAUUCGAUGCAACGCGAAGAACCUUACCUACCCUUGACAUCCAGAGGACUUUCCAGAGAUGGAUUGGUGCCUUCGGGAACUCUGAGACAGGUGCUGCAUGGCUGUCGUCAGCUCGUGUUGUGAAAUGUUGGGUUAAGUCCCGUAACGAGCGCAACCCCUAUCCUUAUUUGCCAGCGAGUAAUGUCGGGAACUCUAAGGAGACUGCCGGUGACAAACCGGAGGAAGGUGGGGACGACGUCAAGUCAUCAUGGCCCUUACGGGUAGGGCUACACACGUGCUACAAUGGCAAGUACAAAGGGUUGCAAUACUGCGAAGUGGAGCCAAUCCCAUAAAGCUUGCCUCAGUCCGGAUUGGAGUCUGCAACUCGACUCCAUGAAGUCGGAAUCGCUAGUAAUCGUGGAUCAGAAUGCCACGGUGAAUACGUUCCCGGGCCUUGUACACACCGCCCGUCACACCAUGGGAGUGGACUGCACCAGAAGUGGUUAGCCUAACCUUCGGGAGGGCGAUCACCACGGUGUGGUUCAUGACUGGGGUGAA
rnacentral:rRNA from 1 species